rnacentral:tRNA from 1 species
GGGGUUAUAGCUCAAUUGGUAGAGCGCCUGCUUUGCAUGCAGGAGGUCAGGAGUUCGAUUCUCCUUAACUCCACCA